UACGUAGGGAGCAAGCGUUGUCCGGAAUCAUUGGGCGUAAAGCGCGCGUAGGCGGCCCUGUAAGUCCGCUGUGAAAGUCAAAGGCUCAACCUUUGAAAGCCGGUGGAUACUGCAGGGCUAGAGUCCGGAAGAGGCGAGUGGAAUUCCUGGUGUAGCGGUGGAAUGCGCAGAUAUCAGGAGGAACACCAAUAGCGAAGGCAGCUCGCUGGGACGGUACUGACGCUGAGGCGCGAAAGCGUGGGGAGCGAACAGG
rnacentral:rRNA from 1 species